UUGCCAGCCGCUCAGAAACUUAAAUGAAUUGACGGGGCCCGCACAAGCGGAGGAGCAUGUGGUUUAAUUCGAUGAUACGCGAGGAACCUUACCUGGGCUCGAACGUAAGAUGACUGUAGGUGAAAGCUUACAUCUCUUCGGAGCAUUUUACGAGGUGCUGCAUGGUUGUCGUCAGCUCGUGCCGUGAGGUGUCGGGUUAAGUCCCAUAACGAGCGCAACCCCUACCUUUAGUUGCCAUCAGGUAAUGCUGGGGACUCUAAAGGAACUGCCUACGCAAGUAGUGAGGAAGGCGGGGAUGACGUCAAAUCAGCACGGCCCUUACGUCCAGGGCUACACACGUGCUACAAUGGCCGAUACAGAGGGCAGCUACCUGGUGACAGGAUGCAAAUCUCCAAAGUCGGUCUCAGUUCGGAUCGGAGUCUGCAACCCGACUCCGUGAAGUUGGAUUCGCUAGUAAUCGCGCAUCAGCCAUGGCGCGGUGAAUACGUUCCCGGGCCUU
rnacentral:rRNA from 1 species